rnacentral:rRNA from 1 species
GAGAUCAGUUGUUACUUUAUAUACACAUGCAAGUCUCCGCACUCCUGUGAAAACGCCCUUAAGUCCCUAUAAUGGAUAAGGAGCUGGUAUCAGGCACAAAAAUUUAGCCCAAAACACCUAGCCAUGCCACACCCCCACGGGAACUCAGCAGUGAUUAACAUUGAAAAUAAGCGCCAGCCUGAAUCAGUUAAAGUUUAGAGAGCCGGCAAAUCUGGUGCCAGCCGCCGCGGUUACACCACGUGGCUCAAACUGACCUCUUCCGGCGUAAAGCGUGAUUAAAGUUAACCUUUUACUGCAAUUAAACUAGAACUAAGCUGUGACACGCUUAUUCCCAAGAAAACCAAACGAAAGUCAUUGCA